CCAGCAACUGUUGGCGACCCGUCGACAGCAACGGACUAUUUCGUACAUCGGAAUAACGGGCUGUUGUAUUGUUCCUGUGUUACACACAUUUUAACCCGCGCGAGCCUACACAUUUGUGAGGAUACAAUAAUAUUCACACUUAAUCAACGUGUAUUUACUUCAAAACAUUAUCGAAGUUAAAAUUUAAUUAUUUUCUGAAUGAGUUUUCUUGUUUCUUAAAAACGUUGCCAGAUAAAUUAUUUUUUUUUUGCUAAAUUAUACACAACAUUACCCGAAUGUUAAGCAAUAACAGUUCGAUACCUAUCAGCCUGACAUGUUAAAAAAUCAAUUAAUGCUGACAUAAUUGGACGCCUGUAGAAGCACUGACUGACGCGGCGUCAUAGACAGCAGCACGUUGGUGUAAUAGAUGACAGGACGCUUGCUAAUAGCACAGAUAGAGAGUAGAAUCUGUGGACAAUUGCCUGUGGUAAACCACGUUGCCAUAUUGGACGUUUGCUUGCGGUGCUAGAUCUGGACACACCAGGCUAAGUGAUACACCACUACAACGUUGUUGUGAUUUGCUAAAGAUUCAGGGUGACGGGCGGAAGUUGUCAAACAAACCAAAAGCGAAACUUAACUGACACCGGAAGUUUUGAAAACCAGCGACCAACACAGCUCCCAGAAACCAAGUUUCGCCAGCAUCGUUUCUCCAAGUGCAACCGUUUUCCUUUAACCUUGCGCAGUUCUCAACCUAAAUCCCGCAGCGUGCCGGCUGAAAAAA